rnacentral:rRNA from 1 species
UUGGAGGGCAAGUCUGGUGCCAGCAGCCGCGGUAAUUCCAGCUCCAAUAGCGUAUAUUAAAGUUGUUGCAGUUAAAAAGCUCGUAGUUGAAUUUCGGGAUUAGUACGUCGGUCGUGCCUUAGGUACGUACUGGUGUUACUGGUUCCUACCUUCUGACGAACCAUCAUGUCAUUAAUUUGGUGUGGUGGGGAAUCAGGACUGUUACUUUGAAAAAAUUAGAGUGUUUAAAGCAGGCUCGCGCUUGAAUACAUUAGCAUGGAAUAAUGAAAUAGGACGUUGAUCCUAUUUUGUUGGUUUCUAGGAUUGACGUAAUGAUUAAUAGGGAUAGUUGGGGGCAUUAGUAUUCAAUUGUCAGAGGUGAAAUUCUUGGAUUUAUUGAAGACUAACUACUGCGAAAGCAUUUGCCAAGGAUGUUUUCAUUAAUCGAGAACGAAAGUUAGGGGAUCGAAGACGAUCAGAUACCGUCGUAGUCUUAACCAUAAACUAUGCCGACUAGGGAUCGGAUGAUGUUAAUUUUUUAAUGACUCAUUCGGCACCUUACGGGAAAC